UGGGGAAUUUUGGACAAUGGGCGAAAGCCUGAUCCAGCAAUGCCGCGUGUGUGAAGAAGGCCUUCGGGUUGUAAAGCACUUUUGUCCGGAAAGAAAUCCUUGGCUCUAAUACAGUCGGGGGAUGACGGUACCGGAAGAAUAAGCACCGGCUAACUACGUGCCAGCAGCCGCGGUAAUACGUAGGGUGCAAGCGUUAAUCGGGAAUUACUGGGCGUAAAGCGUGCGCAGGCGGUUUGCUAAGACCGAUGUGAAAUCCCCGGGCUCAACCUGGGAACUGCAUUGGUGACUGGCAGGCUAGAGUAUGGCAGAGGGGGGUAGAAUUCCACGUGUAGCAGUGAAAUGCGUAGAGAUGUGGAGGAAUACCGAUGGCGAAGGCAGCCCCCUGGGCCAAUACUGACGCUCAUGCACGAAAGCGUGGGGGAGCAAAACAGGAUUAGAUACCCUGGUAGUCCACGCCCUAAACGAUGUCAACUAGUUGUUGGGGAUUCAUUUCCUUAGUAACGUAGCUAACGCGUGAAGUUGACCGCCUGGGGAGUACGGUCGCAAGAUUAAAACUCAAAUGAAUUGACGGGGUCAUAGCUGUUUCCU
rnacentral:rRNA from 1 species